rnacentral:misc_RNA from 1 species
CAUUGACAUCACCAGUAUAGUACUUCAAGAAGGAAAGGGCAUGCACAUGCAACUUGAUAACUAAUUAUCAAUUCUCUCAUGAUAAAUAAUUAGUUUUUCAGAGUUUGGCUGAAUACCAUACUACUAGUAUAUCUUAACCUCACUGAUGAACAUUAGUUAUAUGAGCAGGAAUCAAAUCAGAUUACACAAAUGCAAGUUCAUACUUUUUUAGUCUGCUACUUUCUUUUCUAGUUCAUAUUUUCACAAAUCAAUUGUUUAAUUUAUUGCAUGCCAAUUCUCAUCUCAAUUGUACAUUUGAAGGUUAUUAAUCUAAAAUAAUAUUUAAAAUUGAGAUUUUUAUUAAAUAUAAUUAUAAGAAAAUUUGUUGAAAUACUAAUUCCAUAUUGAUGGACUUGAAAUUUAGAAUGCAUAGCUGAUUUAUGAAAAUGUGAAUUAGAGAAAAAGUAAGACCCCACAUAAAAACCUCUGUACCCCAUAAAUACACAUGCAGAUUCCUUCCUCCACUAUUUCAAGUGUAUUAGUGCUAAGGUUCAUAGAUAAGAAAAAUAUGGAUGUGGCGAACAGUUUGUGUGAUUCUCAUGGCUUUUUUUACCCCCAAUACAUGUAUCCCUCUAUUUCAAGAGUAUUAGGCUUAGGUUCAUGGCUAAGAAAAAUAGGAAUGUGGUGAACUCUUUUUAGUGAUUCUCAUGGCUUUUUCCUCCAAUAUAUGUAUGGCACUAUUUCAAUUGUAUUAGUGCAAAGGUUCAUGGCUAAGAAAAAUAAGGAAGUAGUGAACUGCUUGUGUGAUUCUCAUGGCUGGUGACAUUAUGGGUAAAGAGCUCUAUAGCUCUUUAAAAAAGCAAUGGAUUCUAGCAUAUAAGAUGUAUAAUGCAAUUCUUGGGAUAGAUGAUAAGUGUGGAGACUCCAAGAACAGCAAGCUCUGAAAGGAAUUCUUGGUGUUGCUGACGAAAAAGGGCGUUAGAAUUAAUGAGAUUCUCCUUAAUCUAAGGGAUAAAAUUCCUCCUUAAUUUAUGAGAUGAGAUUUUUCCUUAAUUCUUAGAAGAAUCCCAUUAUAUAAGAUAGUUCGAAUCCUUUCUUAAUCUAUGAAAUAUGUCUUGCGCUUCUCAUUAUAAAUAUGGACUAUAUAUUAUGUAAAUGUGCAAGAGUGAAGUGAACAAAGAUGUAGUCUUUGUGGUUCUUCCCUUCUCCUUCCUUU